UGGGGAAUUUUGCGCAAUGGGCGGAAGCCUGACGCAGCAACGCCGCGUGGGGGAGGACGGCCUUCGGGUUGUAAACCUCUUUCGGUUCUGACGAAGCUCUGCGUGUUCGUGGGGUGACGGUAGGGGCAGAAGAAGCACCGGCUAACUACGUG
rnacentral:rRNA from 1 species